UGCCAGCCGCCGCGGUAAGACGGAGGGUGCAAACGUUGUUCGGAAUUAUUGGGCAUAAAGCGCACGUAGGCGGUCCGUUAAGUCAGUUGUGAAAUCCCUCGGCUCAACCGAGGAAUUGCAGUUGAUACUGGCGGACUUGAGGACGGUAGGGGUGAGUGGAACUCCAGGUGGAGCGGUGAAAUGCGUAGAUAUCUGGAGGAACACCGGUGGCGAAAGCGGCUCACUGGACCGUAACUGACGCUGAGGUGCGAAAGCUAGGGUAGCAAACGGGAUUAGAUA
rnacentral:rRNA from 1 species